UGUCCAGCAGCAUAAACACAUCAAAGCGCGUCCUGAUGGCAGCGAGUAAACAGGAAGGGACAGAAAGACAAACACGGCUCCUCGCAACUGCUGGGGGAGAAAAACAACUCUCUCUCCAGGCGGGAGAAGGUUUGCUGCCUGCUCAGCUGCAACCCCCGUGGAGAAAUGAGCCAAGGAAGUGAUACCAGCCAAGAGACAGCCGAGCAAGGAGGCAGCUGGGACAGACGAGUGUGGAUGGAGAGACCUGUCUGAGACUCCAUCAGAGGAGGAGGCAUCCCCAGUGCUGCCUCCCACACCAGCUGUGCUUCGUGGGCCUGAUCCAGUGCCAGGAAAGCCAACACUGUUUCCUGUGUACAAGGGGAGUGGGACAUCAGUCAGCAGAGAUCCCUGAGGGAUGCAGAGCUGAUUUCAGUCCUGGAGAAGGCAACAUGUCUAUUCCAUUAGCUGCCCAA